CUCUCGGUCUUAUUCGAGACCAUAUAUUAUCAUAUCAAAAAUUUAU
rfam:Callithrix jacchus chromosome 6, whole genome shotgun sequence